UACGUAGGGCGCAAGCGUUAUCCGGAAUUAUUGGGCGUAAAGAGCUCGUAGGCGGUUUGUCGCGUCUGCCGUGAAAGUCCGGGGCUCAACUCCGGAUCUGCGGUGGGUACGGGCAGACUAGAGUGAUGUAGGGGAGACUGGAAUUCCUGGUGUAGCGGUGAAAUGCGCAGAUAUCAGGAGGAACACCGAUGGCGAAGGCAGGUCUCUGGGCAUUAACUGACGCUGAGGAGCGAAAGCAUGGGGGAGCGAACAGG
rnacentral:rRNA from 1 species